rnacentral:lncRNA from 1 species
CUGGCACAGACCUGCUCUGGGAAGGCUUUCCCAGCAGCUGGGGUCUGUUAGAAAUGAUUUGCAGAGUGGCUGUAGUGCAAGGGAGUGUGACUCCUCCCCGAGUGGAGAAUCUCACAUUUAGUUCAUAAUCACAUAAAAUCUGUUCUGAAAUGAGCUUAGGAGUGCCUGAGGAUUUAUGUCCUGUCCACUUCCCAGGACAAUGGAGCACAGAUCUAUCUCUCAGGCAGCAGCACUGCAAGGCACUGGUGGAAGUCUCUGCCAGCUCUGAACGGUCCCAAAGAGACAGAGAAAGCAGAGGAGCCUGAAGAUCCAAAGAGGAAUUAAUCUAACAAUAUAAAAGAGGAACAAUUCUAAAUUUGAGCUAGAAGACAGUUGCAACAGAAGUUAGAAGUGAAAUUGUUGUCAGCAUCCUUUCAGUGAACAGUCCUCUGUCAGUGGCAAUGGG